UCACAGCAUCAGCUACAUUUAGCAAACACAAAGGGCAUUGAAAGGCACUAGUUACAUUGUUCCCGCUCUCUUCUUCUUCCCAAAUGCCCGAAUCAGGAGCACAACAAAACCCACUUCUUCCGGGGUCCCCGACAGAAAGCCCGCCAAACCCAAGCAAAUGGAAAUUUUUGUGCAGCAGCAAGAAUAAGAAGAAGAAGAAAGGAAAGGACUUUUUCAUGCAAGGAUUCGUGUGUGCCCCGUUGUGCUGCUGCCUCUGUCUGGUGGCGUCAAGAAAAAUAGAACAGUGUAAAGAAAGGAAUAAGAAAGGAAGAGGAAAAACCGUAAAAUAGAAAGGAAAGGAUUCAGUUCCUGCAAGCACAGACAUCUCGAAAAUCUGUCCAAAGCACUCGUUCUACAGGUACCAGCAAGUAGGAUAAGAAGAUUUCGACGGGCAAAUAUUUUCAGUUUCACUUGAGGUAAUUUGAGAUUAUUGGGAAUGAAAUGUACUUUUCGACUCUAGCUUUGUCAUUCAUUGGACAAAUGCAGUACAGUUUAAUCUUUUGAGUUUUAUGCUUAGCUGAUGAGAUGAAUGUCCUUUUCGGUACACUAAAUAGUCCAGUCCUUUUAAUCAGCUUGCAUUUUAAAAUCACGUA